GCCGAGGUGGCGAAAUUGGUAGACGCACUAGACUUAGGAUCUAGCGUUGCAAGACGUGCGAGUUCGAGUCUCGCCCUCGGCACCA
rnacentral:tRNA from 1 species